UAGCUCAAUGGUAGAGCAGCGCCCUGUUAAGGCGUUGGUUGCAGGUUCGAGUCCUG
rnacentral:tRNA from 1 species